AGGUCCUGUGGUGGGCAGAGACAAGUGCUGGGUCUAGUCAUUGUUGAUGGGCUCCUGCAGACUGUCAGUGGUGCUCAUGUCCUGCCUGCUGUCAGUUCAGACACUUCUGAGCUGCUGCUCAAAGUUUUCCUCUGGUGAAGUUUCUCAAGAGGGGAGAGGUUUGCUUUGCUCUCCUCCCCUAGCCUGGCCUGAUUGGAGCUGCUGAUGUCAAUGAUGAGGUUACUGUGGGCAGACAGAGCUCUCUGUCAUUUGGAAGAGC